rnacentral:lncRNA from 1 species
CUGCUGGGUGGCGCCGGCUUCGCGCCGGAUCCCGCCGUGGUGGCGGGCCGUUCACAAGCGGAGGUGCUGGGAGAACCGCAGUUGAUUCUGCACGCCAAGGUCCGACUCGGGCUUGCAGGCAGUCUCUGGUUUCGAGCGAUCUGCUGCACAUCGGCACUGCGCCUCUGGCCAGACUGGUUUUCGGGGCCUUGAGAGGGCUCUGAACACAGGGCCUCCUGAAAAAGGCCACUGGAAGCCUGGAUGCUGAUGGCCGCGAGGUGGGUGGGACCUUCAGUCCAGCAGGGACACAGCCAGACCUCAAGAGGGGGUCAAGGGGUCGCGGGGACGGGGAGAAAGAAAAUUCAAUUUUUUUCUGUUCCUUCACCCUACAGUUUCUUGCGAACUCUCCUGGGAGCCAGAAGUCGAGGAAGUUCAGCUUGGGCUAUUAUUAGUUCAGGCAAACCGGCCUCCCCCUGGGGGACCAGGGUGGAAAAAAGCUGGAGCAGACCGGGUGGGAGAAGGUGGCUUGUCCACUGCAGACCUUCCCAGAAGCAGGUUUCCCUGUCCUCUUGCUGGAGCUCUAGUUUUACAUUUUUAGCUGUCUUCUCAGCACUUCUGCUUGGAUGGCCCAUUCGAAUUCAAGACGUCCACUUCUGUUCCAGGUUGCUCAGAAUGAAGUUAACUAUCUCCAGCAUGAGAGCCGUCUCUUCAGCACAAUUCAGGAGCAUGAUGGGUCUGGAAGGAACCCUUAAGAUUCUCCUAGGACAGCAAUUCCUUGCAAACUGUAGCGAGCACAAGAGAACGCAAUCUGAGCAGUGGAGUCAUCAGCAACUGCUGUGCUCAAAGCCAUCCUGGACAUUUCAGUCCUAGCCAGGCCCCAUCUGAAGGUGGGUGCAGGGAGAAACCCGGUGAGACCCGCAGCAGGUCUGCCUGGCUAGACCCAGUAAACCCACAGUAUUGUAACAAACAGUGCAUUGUUGUUU